UACGUAGGGGACGAGCGUUGUCCGGAGUUACUGGGCGUAAAGCGCCCGCAGGCGGUCCGCUCAGUUUGCGCUGACAGCUCCUGGCUUAACUGGGAGAGCGGUGCGAAGACGGGCGGACUGAGAGGACCAGAGAGGGACAUGGAACUCCGGGUGUAGUGGUGAAAUGCGUAGAUAUCCGGAAGAACACCAAAGGCGAAGGCAGUGUCCUGGCUGGUACCUGACGCUGAGGGGCGAAAGCUAGGGGAGCGAACGGG
rnacentral:rRNA from 1 species